rnacentral:tRNA from 1 species
UUUUUCGUGGUAUAACGGUAGCACACUCGGCACAUAUUCGAGAGAUCCAGGUUCGAGUCCUGGCGAGGGCA